AGAGGUCGUUUAUGUUGCGAACAAUCGACCGUGGCAGCCCACUCCUCAAUGGACAGACCCCAUUCAAGGACACAACAUGGCCCGUGGAAGGCAGUGUUACAGAUGCGGUGGUGAGUAUGAUUUUUCUCAU